rnacentral:lncRNA from 1 species
AGCCGGCCAAAGUUCCUCGCAAAGUGGCGAGCGAAGGAGCGCUGAGCACUGACGUCUGGGCUGGGGAGGAGCGGGUCCGAGCGAGGACGGAGAGGGGACAGAGGGAAAGGGAGGCGGGUGUCUUCCUCAGGAAUUUGAGCUGGGGAUCUGCAUCCUGGCCAUUGCAGUCCUUUAGCAUCCUCGCCGCGCCCUGAGCGCGCUGGAGGCUCGCAGGCUGCGCCCUCCCAGGGCUGAUGCCGCGUCCUGCUCCGCCGUUCUGGGACGUCGGGGACAAAAGUGGAGGAGACGGGAGAGCCCGGGCAGAAAAAGCAGGACGCGCGUCCCAGGUCCAAAGGGGUCCCCAGAGUCAAUCCCUCCCCCUGCCUGGGCCAUAUUCUCCAGCUCAGAGAGGAUCCUUGAAGGUAAGGAGAUGAGGAAGCAAAGCCCACCCAUCCUAUCAAUGGGUCCCAUAUAGCCCUGGCAAAAGGCCUAGGCCUCCUUCUCUUUAUCUGCCUGAACCUCCAUUUUACUCUCCAGUAAAC